CACGUAGGCACCAAGCGUUGUCCGGAUUUAUUGGGCGUAAAGAGCUCGUAGGCGGUUCCGUAAGUCAGAUGUGAAAACUCAGGGCUCAACCCGGAGACGCCAUCUGAUACUGCGGUGACUGGAGUCUGGUAGGGGAACACGGAAUUCCUGGUGUAGCGGUGAAAUGCGCAGAUAUCAGGAGGAACACCGAUGGCGAAGGCAGUGUUCUGGGCCAGUACUGACGCUGAGGAGCGAAAGCGUGGGGAGCAAACAGG
rnacentral:rRNA from 1 species